CAUAAGGUGGCUGAAAUAGUGUAAGUUUUUUAAAUUUAUUAUAGUAGAGUAUACUUCUUGUGG
rnacentral:tRNA from 1 species